UACGUAGGGUGCGAGCGUUAAUCGGAAUUACUGGGCGUAAAGGGUGUGCAGGCGGUUGAGUAAGACAGAUGUGAAAUCCCCGAGCUUAACUCGGGAAUGGCAUAUGUGACUGCUCGACUAGAGUGUGUCAGAGGGAGGUGGAAUUCCACGUGUAGCAGUGAAAUGCGUAGAUAUGUGGAAGAACACCGAUGGCGAAGGCAGCCUCCUGGGACAUAACUGACGCUCAGGCACGAAAGCGUGGGGAGCAAACAGG
rnacentral:rRNA from 1 species